rnacentral:rRNA from 1 species
UUUAAGUGUUAAUUAUACUUACCAGGGUACUAUAAGCUAAGGUCUUUAAACCCAAAGAAUUUGGCGGUAUCUCAUUCCAUUCAGAGGAACCUACCCCGUGAUUGAUAAUACACGAUUAACUCUACUUAAUUUAUUUGUUUGUAUAUCUCCGUUAUCAGAAAAUCUUUCUAGAGUUAUAAUUUUCUUGAUUUAUAAUUACAAAAUAUUUCAGGUCAAGGUGCAGCUUAUAAUUAAGAGGAGGUGGGUUACAAUAUAUUUUUGUUUAUAACGGAUUUGAUGGUGAAAUCUAUUAAUGAAGGUGGAUUUGAUAGUAAUUUAAUUUAUUUAAUUUAAUUGAUAUUGGCUCUGAGGUGUGU